GAUGAACGCUAGCUACAGGCUUAACACAUGCAAGUCGAGGGGAAACGGCAUUAAGUGCUUGCACUUUUUGGACGUCGACCGGCGCACGGGUGAGUAACGCGUAUCCAACCUUCCCAUGACUAAGGGAUAACCUGCCGAAAGGCAGACUAAUACCUUAUGGUCUUCACUGACGGCAUCAGAUGUGAAGUAAAGAUUUAUCGGUUAUGGAUGGGGAUGCGUCUGAUUAGCUUGUUGGCGGGGUAACGGCCCACCAAGGCAACGAUCAGUAGGGGUUCUGAGAGGAAGGUCCCCCACAUUGGAACUGAGACACGGUCCAAACUCCUACGGGAGGCAGCAGUGAGGAAUAUUGGUCAAUGGGCGAGAGCCUGAACCAGCCAAGUAGCGUGCAGGAUGACGGCCCUAUGGGUUGUAAACUGCUUUUGUAUGGGGAUAAAGUCAAUCACGUGUGAUUGUUUGCAGGUACCAUACGAAUAAGGACCGGCUAAUUCCGUGCCAGCAGCCGCGGUAAUACGGAAGGUCCGGGCGUUAUCCGGAUUUAUUGGGUUUAAAGGGAGCGUAGGCUGGAGAUUAAGUGUGUUGUGAAAUGUAGGCGCUCAACGUCUGACUUGCAGCGCAUACUGGUUUCCUUGAGUACGCACAACGUCGGCGGAAUUCGUCGUGUAGCGGUGAAAUGCUUAGAUAUGACGAAGAACUCCGAUUGCGAAGGCAGCUGACGGGAGCGCAACUGACGCUGAAGCUCGAAGGUGCGGGUAUCGAACAGG
rnacentral:rRNA from 1 species